UUCAUUCUGCUCCGUUCCUUUUCUACACCUAUUCUUUCUCCUCGAUCCCCUUGAUUUUCCCUGAUUCGAAUCAAGGGUUCAAGAUUUCUUGUUUUACGAGCCCGAAUAUUUCUAGAAGAUUUGAAGAGCUAGGUCAAUUCUGAUGUGGAACCACUAAGCAAGCUUAGAUUUUGGCUUUUUUCUUUUCCCGGAUUGCCACCAUUUUUAUGGAAGGAAAAAAAAUUACCUUUUUGGAGCUUGUUGAUUUAGAUGAAAACAUACGUUUUGAUCUUGCUCUAAGUUUCCAGAUGCUAGCAUUUCUGAUGGAGAAGAUAUACCUGGGGUUUUAUGGUUUUGCGACCCAAGAGGGAAUCAGUGUUUUUCUGAAGUUGAUGAUAAGUAUUCUCGAGAUGGUUCCAACCUCUGCAAGCUUAUCAGUCAAGUUCCUUGUUUUGAAUAAGCUCUUCAUUUAAUGCUGAGACUUAUGCUUAUCUGCAGGUCAUCUCCAUCGUGGUUCAUUUUUGUGAAUGGAUUUCGCAGCCACAUGACAUCCAUAUCCUGAUAAUAGAAAGAAAUGAUUUGGGCACCCUCUUCCAUCAUCCAUUUUUUUGAGCCUACCGUGAAAAUGAAGCUGUAUCCAUGCUUUAGAACAUCUCUGAGGAAGGCAAUUCUCUGCCACAUCAUUUUGAUGUAGCCAUCG